UUUGCACACUAUUCUCUGGUGGUCUGUGAACUUCAUCUGGAAGUUGGAACAAAGUUUAAACUUGUCGUGAACUUGUAAGAAUACUAACAAUAUUUUUAUACAAGCAGGGGCUCAUCAGCAGCGGGCGUUACAGAGGGGUUCGGUUUGUGGGGGGAGGACAACCCCCCUUCCCGCUCGAGACGCGCGUGCUCGCGCGCUACCAGCGCACGAAGUUCCUCCUGCAACAAUUU